rnacentral:rRNA from 1 species
UUUUAUUUGAGAGUUUGAUCCUGGCUCAGGAUAAACGCUGGCGGCGUGCCUAACACAUGCAAGUUGAGCGAUUUACUUCGGUAAAGAGCGGCGGACGGGUGAGUAACGCGUGGGUAACCUACCC